rnacentral:rRNA from 1 species
CCCUACGGGGUGCAGCAGGCUGAGGAUAUGUUACCCGUUGCCCGGCUGUUCAAUCAAGAACUAAAAGAUGCGAUCGGAAAUAAGGACAUUGAAUCCUUUGAAGAAGCACUGACUCGUUUAGAUAAGAUAUUUUAGUGAAAGGGAGGAUAAUGGGAUGGAAUUUGCGUUAAGCAAGGAACAGGCUCUAAUUCAGAAGAUGGCCCGGGAAUUUGCGGAGAAGUCCAUUGAGCCGGUGGCACGGCAGAUCGAUGAGGAGAACAGGAUCCCGGCGGAAGUAUUCGAGGGUUUGGGAGAACUUGAACUGAUGGGAGUACCAUUUGACGAAGAAUAUGGCGGAGCCGGGGCCGGUUAUGACGGUUAUGUGCUGGCUAUGGAACAAAUAGCCAGGGUAUUGGCGGGAGGGC